AGAGUUUGAUUCUGGCUCAGAUUGAACGCUGGCGGCGUGCUUAACACAUGCAAGUCGAACGUGAAAGUCCUUCGGGACGAGUAAAGUGGCGCACGGGUGAGUAACGCGUGGAUAAUCUACCCUUAAGAUGGGGAUAACGGCUGGAAACGGUCGCUAAUACCGAAUACGCUCCCGAUUUUAUCGUUGGGGGGAAAGAUGGCCUCUGCCUGCAAGCUAUCGCUUAAGGAUGAGUCCGCGUCCCAUUAGCUAGUUGGCGGGGUAACGGCCCACCAAGGCAACGAUGGGUAGCCGGUCUGAGAGGAUGACCGGCCACACUGGAACUGGAACACGGUCCAGACUCCUACGGGAGGCAGCAGUGGGGAAUAUUGCGCAAUGGGCGAAAGCCUGACGCAGCGACGCCGCGUGAGGGAUGAAGGUUCUCGGAUCGUAAACCUCUGUCAGGGGGGAAGAAACCCCCUCGUGUGAAUAAUGCGAGGGCUUGACGGUACCCCCAAAGGAAGCACCGGCUAACUCCGUGCCAGCAGCCGCGGUAAUACGGAGGGUGCAAGCGUUAAUCGGAAUCACUGGGCGUAAAGCGCACGUAGGCGGCUUGGUAAGUCAGGGGUGAAAUCCCACAGCCCAACUGUGGAACUGCCUUUGAUACUGCCAGGCUUGAGUACCGGAGAGGGUGGCGGAAUUCCAGGUGUAGGAGUGAAAUCCGUAGAUAUCUGGAGGAACACCGGUGGCGAAGGCGGCCACCUGGACGGUAACUGACGCUGAGGUGCGAAAGCGUGGGUAGCAAACAGGAUUAGAUACCCUGGUAGUCCACGCUGUAAACGAUGAUUACUAGGUG
rnacentral:rRNA from 1 species